CGNGCCCACUGAAAUUUUUAAAUGGCCGCAGUAAUUUGACUGUGCAAAGGUAGCAUAAUCAUUAGUUUUUUAAUUAAAAGCUUGUAUGAAUGGUUGGACGAGGUAAAUUCUGUCUUUAUUUAAAUAAAAUUAGAAUUUAAUUUUUAAGUUAAAAAGCUUAAAUAUAUAUAAAAGACGAGAAGACCCUAUAGAUCUUUAUAUUAUUAUAAUAUAAUUUUAAUAAAGAAUUUUUAAUUUUUUAUUUUAUAUAGUAUUUUAUUGGGGUAAUAAAAAGAUUGAGUUAAUUCUUUUUUAUUUUUUACAUUAAUUUAUGAAUUUAAUGAUCCAAAGUUUUUGAUUAUAAGAUUAAGUUACCUUAGGGAUAACAGCGUAAUUUUUUUAGAGAGUUCAUAUCGAUAAAAAAGUUUGCGACCUCGAUGUUGGAUUAAAAAUUGUUUUAGGCGCANAAGUUUAAAAAUUUGGUCUGUUCGACCAUUAAAUUUUUACAUGAUCUGAGUUCAGACCGGUGUAAGCCAGGUCGGUUUCUAUCUUUAUAGUUUUUUAAAUAUUUUAGUACGAAAGGACCAAAUAUUUAAUAUAUUAAUAUUUAUAAUUUGAAUAUUAUU
rnacentral:rRNA from 1 species